AGUGAACGCUGGCGGUAGGCCUAACACAUGCAAGUCGAACGGCAGCACAGUAAGAGCUUGCUCUUACGGGUGGCGAGUGGCGGACGGGUGAGGAAUACAUCGGAAUCUACUUUUUCGUGGGGGAUAACGUAGGGAAACUUACGCUAAUACCGCAUACGACCUACGGGUGAAAGCAGUGGAUCUUCGGACCUUGCGCGAUUGAAUGAGCCGAUGUCGGAUUAGCUAGUUGGCGGGGUAAAGGCCCACCAAGGCGACGAUCCGUAGCUGGUCUGAGAGGAUGAUCCGCCACACUGGAACUGAGACACGGUCCAGACUCCUACGGGAGGCAGCAGUGGGGAAUAUUGGACAAUGGGCGCAAGCCUGAUCCAGCCAUACCGCGUGGGUGAAGAAGGCCUUCGGGUUGUAAAGCCCUUUUGUUGGGAAAGAAAAGCAGCAGGUUAAUACCCCGCUGUUCUGACGGUACCCAAAGAAUAAGCACCGGCUAACUUCGUG
rnacentral:rRNA from 1 species